GGAACGAGUAAAGUGGCGAACGGGUGAGUAACACGUAGGAAUCUCCCCUUUAGUGAAGGAUACCCUCGAGAAAUCGAGGUUAAUACUGCAUAAUUCCCUUCGGGGAAAAAGACGGCCUCUUUGCUGUCGCUAAAGGAUGAGCCUGCGCACUAUUAGCUAGUUGGUGGGGUAAAGGCCUACCAAGGCUGUGAUGGUUAGCCGGCCUGAGAGGGUGAUCGGCCACACUGGGACUGAGAUACGGCCCAGACUCC
rnacentral:rRNA from 1 species